rnacentral:rRNA from 1 species
CAGAGGUUACUGCUAUCGAGAUUCGACUAAGYCAUGCGAGUUGAAUGUUCUUCGUGAACAUGGCGGACUGCUCAGUAACACGUGGACAACCUACCCUUGGGUCCGGCAUAAUCCUGGGAAACUGGGAAUAAUUCCGGAUAGGUCACCGAUGCUGGAAUGCGCGGUGGCCGAAAGCUCCGGCGCCCGAGGAUGGGUCUGCGGCCUAUCAGGGUUGUAGUGGGUGUAACGUACCUACUAGCCUACGACGGGUACGGGUUGUGAGAGCAAGAGCCCGGAGAUGGAUUCUGAGACACGAAUCCAGGCCCUACGGGGUGCAGCAGGCGCGAAAACUUUACAAUGCGGGAAACCGUGAUAAGGGGAUCUCGAGUGCCAGCAUAUAAUGUUGGCUGUCCAGAUGCCUAAAAAGCAUCUGUUAGCAAGGGCCGGGCAAGACCGGUGCCAGCCGCCGCGGUAACACCGGCGGCCCGAGUGGUAACCGCUAUUAUUGGGUCUAAAGGGUCUGUAGCCGGCCAGGUAAGUCCCUUGGGAAAUCUGGCAGCUCAACUGUCAGGCUGCUAGGGGAUACUGUUUGGCUUGGGACCGGGAGAGGUGAGAGGUACCUUGGGGGUAGGGGUGAAAUCUUGUGAUCCUCGAGGGACCACCAGUGGCGAAGGCGUCUCACCAGAACGGGUCCGACGGUAAGGGACGAAAGCUAGGGGCACGAACCGGAUUAGAUACCCGGGUAGUCCUAGCCGUAAACGAUGCUCGCUAGGUGUCAGUCACGGUGCGACCGUGAUUGGUGCCGUAGGGAAGCCGUGAAGCGAGCCACCUGGGAAGUAUGGCCGCAAGGCUGAAACUUAAAGGAAUUGGCGGGGGAGCACUACRMCGGSUGGAGCCUGCGGUUUAUUG